GUGGGUGGCAGGAAAGCAGCAUGGAGAGGGGCCACACUGAACAGCGGUUCCCAAGCCUGUGACAAGGACAGGAGUGCCUGAACCAGGAAGACUCUGACAAGCCAGGAAGCUUAAGGAAGCCAAAGACGCUGAACCUGAGGAAGGACUGACUCAUCGGCCACUGCCCAUUGUGCCCACUGCUGACUCCACCCAAGCCAGCAGGCAGCCCCUGAGCACCAAGUCUGUCUAUCCCGUCAACUGCCCCUCAGGCUGGAGGUGCAGCUCAGUGCAGAGAGCUGGAUUG